GAUGAAGACGCAGCGAAAUGCGAUAAGUAGUGUGAAUUGCAGAAUUCAGUGAAUCAUCGAAUCUUUGAACGCACAUUGCGCCCCUUGGUAUUCCAUGGGGCAUGCCUGUUCGAGCGUCAUUUGUACCCUCAAGCUAUGCUUGGUGUUGGGUGUUUGUCCUCUCCUUUGCGAUUGGACUCGCCUUAAAGACAUUGGCAGCCAGUGUAUUGGUCUUGAAGCGCAGCACAUUUUGCGAUUCUUGCUGAUAAUCACUAGCGUCCAGUAAGCCUAUUUUAACACUUUUGACCUCGGAUCAGGUAGGGAUACCCGCUGAACUUAAGCAUAUCAAUAAGCGGAGGA
rnacentral:misc_RNA from 1 species